UCCGUAGGCGGGCAGCUAAGUCAGUGGUGAAAGUCUGCAGCUCAACUGUAGAAUUGCCAUUGAUACUGGUUGUCUUGAAUUAUUAUGAAGUGGUUAGAAUAUGUAGUGUAGCGGUGAAAUGCAUAGAUAUUACAUAGAAUACCAAUUGCGAAGGCAGAUCACUAAUAAUAUAUUGACGCUGAUGGACGAAAGCGUGGGGAGCGAACAGGAUUAGAUACCUGGUAGUCC
rnacentral:rRNA from 1 species